UACGGAGGAUGCAAGCGUUAUCCGGAUUCAUUGGGUUUAAAGGGUGCGCAGGCGGAUUGGUAAGUCAGUGGUGAAAUCCUACGGCUCAACUGUAGAACUGCCAUUGAUACUGCCGAUCUUGAGUACACUUGAAGUGGGCGGAAUGUGUCAUGUAGCGGUGAAAUGCUUAGAUAUGACACAGAACACCGAUCGCGAAGGCAGCUCACUAAAUUGUAACUGACGCUCAUGCACGAAAGCGUGGGGAUCAAACAGG
rnacentral:rRNA from 1 species